rnacentral:rRNA from 1 species
UGUGUAGGCGGUUCUUUAAGUUUGGUGUGAAAUCUCCCGGCUCACCGGGAGGGUGCGCCGAAUACUGAGGGACUAGAGUGCGGGAGAGGAAAGUGGAAUUCCUGGUGUAGCGGUGAAAUGCGUAGAUAUCAGGAGGAACACCGGUGGUGUAGACGGCUUUCUGGACCGUAACUGACGCUGAAACACGAAAGCGUGGGUAGCAAACA